rnacentral:rRNA from 1 species
CGGUGAAAUGCGUAGAGAUCUGAAGGAAUACCGGUGGCGAAGGCGGCCCCCUGGACAGAUACUGACACUCAGAUGCGAAAGCGUGGGGAGCAAACAGGAUUAGAUACCCUGGUAGUCCACGCCGUAAACGAUGUCUACUUGGAGGUUGUGGCCUUGAGCCGUGGCUUUCGGAGCUAACGCGUUAAGUAGACCGCCUGGGGAGUACGGUCGCAAGAUUAAAACUCAAAUGAAUUGACGGGGGCCCGCACAAGCGGUGGAGCAUGUGGUUUAAUUCGAUGCAACGCGAAGAACCUUACCUACUCUUGACAUCCAGAGAACUUUCCAGAGAUGGAUUGGUGCCUUCGGGAACUCUGAGACAGGUGCUGCAUGGCUGUCGUCAGCUCGUGUUGUGAAAUGUUGGGUUAAGUCCCGCAACGAGCGCAACCCUUAUCCUUGUUUGCCAGCGAGUCAUGUCGGGAACUCCAGGGAGACUGCCGGUGAUAAACCGGAGGAAGGUGGGGACGACGUCAAGUCAUCAUGGCCCUUACGAGUAGGGCUACACACGUGCUACAAUGGCGCAUACAGAGGGCAGCCAACUUGCGAAAGUGAGCGAAUCCCAAAAAGUGCGUCGUAGUCCGGAUUGGAGUCUGCAACUCGACUCCAUGAAGUCGGAAUCGCUAGUAAUCGUGGAUCAGAAUGCCACGGUGAAUACGUUCCCGGGCCUUGUACACACCGCCCGUCACACCAUGGGAGUGGGCUGCAAAAGAGUAGGUAGUUUAACCUUCGGGGGGACGCUUACCACUUUGUGGUUCAUGACUGGGGUGAAGUCGUAACAAGGUAGCGCUAGGGGAACCUGGCGCUG